AUCUUAAAAUCAGCUAUGUCAAGUGGAACACGAUCCUUGCAUCCGCCUUCCACUGCCGAUGAUUCUACAAAGCAGCGUGUAUCAACUGCAGCUAUCGUUGGCAUUGCUAGUGUAGUAAGCGUCGUGACAGUGGCAUGUGCCAUCCUUCUCACCUUCAAGAUGAAGAAGGUUCACAGGACACUGCCUGUGGACUCUCCUGUCACCGUCCCCAUGGAUAUCCUGCCCCCCAACACCACCGAGGAGGAAGGUGGCGAUGACCAACAGGCUGCAGCCCAGCCAGACACAACCACAACAACAAUUGCAGUCAGCCAACGGGUACCGCAAAGGUCAACGACUAAAUGCAAGGUGGCACGACCAUUUGUAGUUGUUGCACCCGCAAAGAAAUCCCAUGUAUACUCAAUUGAAGAAGUAUCUUCUUCCGGGGAGAUUGAACUGCUGACGUAGUUAUAGCCUCGGGCAAGCCUAUCUGAAACUAUGCCACGGUUCUUCCCGCUGACGCGCUCAGGUGUGUCUGUCACUAUCGGCCCACACACACAUGCACAGCCACACAUGCACAUCCACACAUGCACAUCCACGCAUGCACACCCACACAUGUAAACCCACACACAUGCACACCCACACAUGGACAUCCACGCAUGUACAUCCACAUCCACGCAUGCACAACCACGCGUGCACACCCACACAUGUAAACCCACACACAUGCUCACCCACACAUGGACAUCCACGCAUGUACAUCCACAUCCACGCAUGCACAUCCACGCAUGCACACCCACACAUGCGCUUCCAUGCAUUCACACCCUCGCAUGUGCACCCACGCCCACUCAAUCACACAUGAUUGAUUCACGACCAGACAUACAGACACACGUGCGCCCACACAUACACACACCUGCUUACCAACGCUCUUCACAAUGCUUUCCUGUCCACUCUGUGUUUCCUGCGUGCAAUCCUCCCUAAUUUUGUUGUGCACAUUUGAGCGUCGCAGCAUGUGAUUGCGUGCCCUAUGUUUUUAUUUUAUUUUAGCUCUUUCUGUUUUUUUUCCUUCACACUUGUAGAGAUAGUAUCCCUAGUUUCUUGGUGGCAAGUUGCCUGAGCUAGUUUAGCAAGCUGUAUGCUUCCUUUAAAAAUAUACAUAACUGUAUGGUAUGUACUCACACUAUGUUUUGUGGCCGAUUUUGACCAGUCCCCAGUUUCGGUUCCCUUUCGCCUCGAGCAGCACUCCCUUUUUCUUUUCUUUUUAGUGAUUGACUUUGUAUUGAUCUGCUGUGACUAUGAUACUACGAGGGAAGUUGCUGUUUCUUCUAUUCGGUGCAUUGCCCUUUCUUGCCUGCUUCAGCGCUAGCAAGGCGCAGUGCAUUUGUUGCAAAAAUGUCAUCGGAUUUCAAAAUUAUUAUCUUUUGUGUACUGUAAAACUGGAAAGUUUAAUGAAAA